AACGAACGUUAGCGGUGCGCCUAACACAUGCAAGUCGAACGCGACAGGGGCAACUCUGUUGAGUGGCGCACGGGUGAGUAACACGUAGGUAAUCUCCCCUCGAGUGGUGGAUAACUUUCCGAAAGGAGAGCUAAUACAGCAUGAGACCACGGCUUCGAAAGGAGCUGAGGUCAAAGCGGAGGAUCGCAAGACUUCGCGCUUGAGGAUGAGCCUGCGGCCCAUCAGGUAGUUGGCGGGGUAAUGGCCCACCAAGCCUUAGACGGGUAGCUGGUCUGAGAGGAUGAUCAGCCACACUGGAACUGAGACACGGUCCAGACUCCUACGGGAGGCAGCAGUGGGGAAUCUUGCGCAAUGGACGAAAGUCUGACGCAGCGACGCCGCGUGGGUGAUGAAGGCCUUCGGGUUGUAAAGCCCUGUGGGGAGGGACGAAUAAGUUGCGGUUAAUACCCGCAGCGAUGACGGUACCUCCUUAGCAAGCACCGGCUAACUCUGUGCCAGCCGCCGCGGUAAGAC
rnacentral:rRNA from 1 species